UUGAAGCCUUCUCUCUCUCUCGCUAUAUAUAUGAGCAAACGAAGUGGUUGCUGGGAAGCCCUAGCCGCAUACAGAGAAUAAAGAGGAGUAGGAGAACCAAAGCAAUUGCUGCGAAAACCCCAAGCAUUUUCAGAGACAAAAAAAAAGAAGUGUGGAAUAGAAUCUCCCAUAAUAAACAGAGACUAGAUCACAUUCUUCAUCACUUUGUUUUCAUCAUUUUAAUGGGUUGAGACUCGAAAGGGCCGAGAGACAUGCCCCCUCAGUCUUCAGGUUGUUUACUUGGAAGUUUUGAUGGCAUGAGUGGAGUCGGAAAAAAAAUAAAAUAAGGUAUUCUUCGCUUCUCAUUAUCGUGUGUAUUUUCCUUAUUUAAUUA